CAGAUACACGUGCGGAAUGCUUAUGUCCAUAUUGCAAACAUUGGAUUAGUGUCUGAAGUCGUCGUAAAUGGCGAUGUGUUAUAUAAGGCUGACCUGUCAUUCCAACACUCCAAACACGAACAGGUUCAGAUAUGUUUACAGGCGGAAGAUGUUAACAGCGUUUUAAGUGAACAGUUGUGUUUUUCUUCCAAGAUUAAAUCACCAGAUCCCUGUUUAAUGAGACCAUGUUUAAAUUCCGGGAUAUGCAAAUCCGAUGAGGAAAAUGGCACAUUUAUUUGCCAAUGUGUCGACCAAUACAAGGGCAGUCGUUGUC